CAGCAGCCGCGGGAAUACGUAGGGUGCAAGCGUUAAACGGAAUUACUGGGCGUAAAGCGUGCGCAGGCGGUCCGCUAAGACAGAUGUGAAAUCCCCGGGCUUAACCUGGGAACUGCAUUUGUGACUGGCGGGCUAGAGUAUGGCAGAGGGGGGUAGAAUUCCACGUGUAGCAGUGAAAUGCGUAGAGAUGUGGAGGAAUACCGAUGGCGAAGGCAGCCCCCUGGGCCAAUACUGACGCUCAUGCACGAAAGCGUGGGGAGCAAACAGGAUUAGAUACCCCGGUAGUCCCUGUCUCUUAUAC
rnacentral:rRNA from 1 species